rnacentral:rRNA from 1 species
AGGACUUGAACGUACUAUGACAGAUGCCGAAAGGUGUCCUUCUUCGGACAGAGUACG